UACGUAGGUGGCAAGCGUUGUCCGGAUUUAUUGGGUUAAAGGGUGCGUAGGCGGGUAUUUAAGUCAGAGGUGAAAGACGGCCGCUCAACGGUCGCAGUGCCUUGAUACUGGAUAUCUUGAGUGCAGACGAGGUCUGUGGAAUGGAUGGUGUAGCGGUGAAAUGCUUAGAUACCAUCCAGAACACCAAUUGCGAAGGCAGCAGACUAGGGUGCAACUGACGCUGAGGCACGAAAGUGCGGGAUCAAACAGG
rnacentral:rRNA from 1 species